AUGUCCAUAUGUUUUGUAUCACUGUGGUACACUUUCGGCGGCGGCACCAAACUGGAUGUUGGCACCGUCUCUCCUCCUCAAGUGAGCGUCCUGUCGCCCUCCAGUGCAGAGAUCUCCUCCAAGCGGGCGGCUACACUGCUGUGUGUGGCCAACAAGGGCUUCCCGUCAGACUGGAGGCUGGUCUGGAAGGUGUCGGGCAGCAGCGGGGGUCAGGAGAGCAGCAGUGCUGGGCUCCUGGAGAAGGACGGUCUGUACAGCUGGAGCAGCAGCCUGACUCUCUCUGAGCAGCAGUGGAUGGAGAGCGUCUCAGUGAGCUGUGAGGCCACACGGAGCGGCCAGCCUGCGCACACUGCAGAAUACACUGUGACGAGACAGCAGUGUUCAGAGUAGACCUGCAGCACACACACACACCACAUCUGUGUGUCUUUACUCACAUUCACUGCACUUUCAGUCUCUCAGUGUGCUCUGCUCUGCUUUCUGUCUUUCACACCAGACUAAAUGUGUGGAGUUUCUUAUUCUGUCAUCAUUUGAUUGUAAUUCAGUCAAUAAAUAAAGCUGUAAGUGUCUGUC